AGUGUUUCCUUGUUAGAAGAUACA
rnacentral:siRNA from 1 species